AGCUAAUACUUGCUUUAGCACUCUUGAUUAAGUUCUUGAGUGUGUACUUGUUAAGCCUUUUAAGAAAAAAGUUAUUAGCUUAAGGAAUUAUAACAAAGAAGUAACACGUAAAUGGAUUUUCCAUUUUUUAGCGUGUAUCAAUCGGGUUUCUGACCUAUCAGCUUUUGAUGUUAGGGUACUGGCCUAACAUGGCUAUGACGGGUAACGGGGAAUUAGAGUUCGAUUCCGGAGAGGGAGCCUGAGAAAUAGCUACCACAUCUAAGGAAGGCAGCAGGCGCGUAAAUUACCCAAUUCUAAAGAAGAGAGGUAGUGACAAGAAAUAACAAUACAAGGCCAAUCUGGCUUUGUAAUUGGAAUGAUGGGAAUUUAAAACCUUCCCAAAACUCAAUUGGAGGGCAAGUCUGGUGCCAGCAGCCGCGGUAAUUCCAGCUCCAAUAGCGUAUAUUAAAAUUGUUGCAGUUAAAACGCUCGUAGUUGAAUUUCAAAGAAUCGAUAUUUUAAGUAACGCUUUGUAGAUUAAUCCACAUAACUGAUACUACGUAUCGACUUUGUGCGCAUUUUUCUACUUAUGUGUUCUUUUAAUUAAAAUGAUUCUUUUUAAGAUCAUUCUUUUUUGCUUCGGCAUUUUAGGAGAUCUUGUUACUUUGAGUAAAUUAGAGUGUUCAAAGCAAACAGAUUAUAGCAUCUUUAUGCGUUUGAAUACUACAGCAUGGAAUAACAAAAUUGAACAAGUCAGAAUUUUGUUCUUUUUUCUUAUUUUGGCUUAGUUACGAUUAAUAGGAGUAGCUUGGGGGCAUUUGUAUUCAGAUGUCAGAGGUGAAAUUCUUAGAUUUUCUGGAGACAAACAACUGCGAAAGCAUUUGCCUAAAAUACUUCCAUUAAUCAAGAACGAAAGUUAAGGGAGUGAAGACGAUCAGAUACCGUCGUAAUCUUAACCAUAAACUAUGCCGACUAGGCUUUGGAUGAAAGAUUUUAAAAUAAGAGAUUUUCUCUUCGGAGUUAAUCUCUUAGAUUGCUUCCUUCAGUGCCUUAUGAGAAAUCAAAGUCUUUGGGUUCUGGGGCGAGUAUUCGCGCAAGCGAGAAAGUUAAAAGAAUUGACGGAAGGGCACCACCAGGCGUGGAGCUUGCGGCUUAAUUUGACUCAACACGGGAAAACUCACUAGUUUAAGACAAGAGUAGGAUUGACAGAUUAAUAGCUCUUUCUUGAUUUCUUGGAUGGUGAUGCAUGGCCGUUUUUAGUUCGUGAAUAUGAUUUGUCUGGUUAAUUCCGAUAACGAACGAGAUCUUAACCUGCUAAUUAGCGGCAAAUACGAUAUAUUCUUAUGUGGAAUUGAAUAUAGUUGAUUUGCUUAUUUUGAAGAAAAUAUUGGGAUACGUAAAUGUAUCCCUUUCCCUUUUCUACUUAAUUUGCUUAUCAUACUAUUUCUUUUUUGCGUAAGAAUGUAUUUGCUUGAUUGUAAAGCUUCUUAGAGGAACGAUGUGUGUCUAACACAAG
rnacentral:rRNA from 1 species